GGAGUGAGGAAAAAUCAAUUUAAGGAGUUUUAAGCGAACGAGGUUGAGCAGUGAUGACGGCGGGCGGUGUUGAGCAUAGACGAUGAAGAUCCUUCGAUAGAAUAGUACUUGGAUGCGUCGUGUCUCCAUACACGAUGUCAUCUGCUCUUGACUCUUCCGCUGCAAUGUAAAAGUCGAGAUUUCAUUCUCUUGUACCAUGCACUCUGAUUUUUAUAUAUAUUCCAAGUUAUUUCAGUUCAA